UUUUUAAAGUAUAACAUUCUGUGUGUGUGUGGGGGGGGGGGGUUCAGCUCUUCAAACUUAGAAUAUUUAGUGAGGUAAGAGUUGUGGACUUCGAUUUCUGACCUUGGUUUUCAUUUGGAAACACCAUACGUACUAUUUAGCAAUCAAACUUCGCAUGAUGUAAUCCCUGCUAUUUUAAUUUGUCUUGUGCUCUGUAAUCGCUUUGGAAGCCUCUGAUACACAAAUCUCUUCGCAGUGAAUUUUCUUUGGUGAUGUUCUUCUUACAGCUUAAACAUGUGGAAAUAUGGCUCACAUGAAUUAUGUUUCUUUUUGAAACAACAACUCAGUGGGGUCCUCCAUCCGUGUCUCCAUCUGGAAACUUCAGGUAAUCCAAGGGAAAAGAAUCAUCAGAGACCUCAGAUGAAUAACAAUAGUGGUCCCAAUGCUGUGGGGUUUCAGGGUGACAGAGGAAAUCACAAAGGAAAAGAUUGACAGAUUUGGCUACAUAAAGAAUUGUAAACACAUGUCCAGCAACAAGAGAAAAAUAAGGUCAGCAGAUGGGAGAGGAUCACAUCAAACAUGACAACCAGAGCUAUCGUCUGUGGUGAAAAACCUCAAAGGAGAAGUGAAAGCAGUAGACUGGUUCUUCUCCAUGUGCAGGGCUGUGGGGGUUCAGGAGCACCA
rnacentral:lncRNA from 1 species